rnacentral:rRNA from 1 species
UGAACGCUAGCGACAGGCUUAACACAUGCAAGUCGAGGGGCAGCGCGGGAUAGCAAUAUCCUGGCGGCGACCGGCGGAAGGGUGCGUAACGCGUGAGCGACAUGCCCGUUGCCCGGGGACAACCGGUGGAAACGCCGACUAAUCCCCGAUGGGAUAUUGUGCCGCAUGGCACGAUAUUGAAAGUUACGGCGGCGACGGAUUGGCUCGCGUCCGAUUAGCUUGUUGGCGGGGUAACGGCCCACCAAGGCUACGAUCGGUAGGGGUUCUGAGAGGAAGGCCCCCCACAAUGGGACUGAGACACGGCCCAGACUCCUACGGGAGGCAGCAGUGAGGAAUAUUGGUCAAUGGGCGGAAGCCUGAACCAGCCAUGCCGCGUGCGGGAAGGAGGCCCUAUGGGCUGUGAACCGCUUUUGCCCGGGGGCAAUAAGGGCGUCGCGCACGUCCGAUGAGAGUACCAGGCGAAUAAGCAUCGGCUAACUCCGUGCCAGCAGCCGCGGUAAUACGGGGGAUGCGAGCGUUAUCCGGAUUCAUUGGGUUUAAAGGGUGCGUAGGCUGUGCGUCAAGUCGGGGGUGAAAUUCCGGUGCUCAACACCGGGGCUGCCCUUGAUACUGUCGCGCUGGAGUGCGGAUGCCGCCGGAGGAAUGAGUGGUGUAGCGGUGAAAUGCUUAGAUAUCACUCAGAACACCGAUUGCGAAGGCAUCUGGCGAAUCCGUAACUGACGCUGAGGCACGAAAGCGUGGGGAUAGAACAGGAUUAGAUACCCUGGUAUUCCACGCCGUAAACGAUGAUGGCUAACCGCCGGCGACACACUGUCGGUGGCCAAGCGAAAGCGAUAAGCCAUCCACCUGGGGAGUACGUCGGCAACGAUGAAACUCAAAGGAAUUGACGGGGGCCCGCACAAGCGGAGGAACAUGUG